rnacentral:misc_RNA from 1 species
GCAGAAACAUAAGCAACCAAACGACAACACGACAUCGAUCACAUAGUUUGUUAACUAAUGAAACAAUUCACAAAUAACACAAAUGAUCCAAAACAAGACUAGCUGGUCUGAAAAUAGGAGUGUAUUCAAAAGGUAUGGUGUUCAUGGAAGGAGCAUUUUAUCGAUGAGCAUUUGCAUAACGAUAUUGAUGUCUGGACACUUCUUGUCUCAAGCAGCCAAUUUCAUGAUCUACUUUUACACCUUUAACACUUGCACAACAAUAGACGCCAACUUACCUGAGCUUGCAGUCUGACCACUCUGGCAUGCCAAAAGCCAGCUUCCAAAACAUUAUGGGGUCAAUAGGUAGAGUCAUGACCUGGACUAUCAGAAUGCAUAUCCAUGGAUGCAUCGACAGAGUUAUAACCAUUAGAAUCUCUAUUUAGGUUUUGGGAGUUAGUUUCAUUGUGUCUGGUAGCAUUUGGAGGUUGAGCAUUGUUCGCAAAGUGACUCCCUUGAGCAAUGUGAUAAUUUUGUAGGCUUCGACGAACAGGGCUUGAAAGAGCAUUCGAGAAAACAUUGUUCUUUGGUUGCUGAUCAUGAUCAGAUCGUAAGCCAUGUCCUGGAGCGGCUACGCCAACUGGUCCUGGAGAGACAUGAAACCCUGAGUUUGCAAAGUGCAACGGUUGGGAAUGCUGAGGCGGUGGCCUAGGAGACAUCGACUGGUCCUCUCCAUUAUAAUCCAAUUCAGACUGAAGGUAGUUCAUUAUGUCAACAGUUGUUACUCUGGAUCCACCCUCUUGUUGCCUCAAGAUCCAU